rnacentral:rRNA from 1 species
UACGUAGGGGCGCAAGCGUUGUCCGGAAUUAUUGGGCGUAAAGAGCUCGUAGGCGGUCUGUUACGUCGGAAGUGAAAACCCGGGGCUUAACCCCGGGCUUGCUUUCGAUACGGGCAGACUAGAGUGUGGUAGGGGAGACUGGAAUUCCUGGUGUAGCGGUGAAAUGCGCAGAUAUCAGGAGGAACACCGGUGGCGAAGGCGGGUCUCUGGGCCACUACUGACGCUGAGGAGCGAAAGCGUGGGGAGCGAACAGG